UUGGAGGUGGAUUUCCAUGAAAAAAAUAUAUUAAGUUAAUGUUGGCUGGUUUGCAUGCUUUUGGUAAUAGUAAUAGCUUGUGAUUUUAUGUGUUUACGUGGGUUUCACUUUUUCACUUGUAAUUUGCUUCAAGCAUAUUCUUCUGCUUAUUGUGUUUUUUAAUUACUCGUCAAAAUGGAAAUAAUUCUUAAAUUGAUUAUGAAUUACAUCCUUGAUUUUA
rnacentral:lncRNA from 1 species